rnacentral:rRNA from 1 species
CAGCCGCCGCGGUAACACGAAGGUCCUGAGCGUUGUUCGGAAUCACUGGGCGUAAAGGGAGCGUAGGCGGCGUGGUAAGUCAGAUGUGAAAUCCCGGGGCUCAACCCCGGAACUGCAUCCGAUACUGCCGUGCUAGAGGAUUGGAGAGGUAGCUGGAAUUCUUGGUGUAGCAGUGAAAUGCGUGGAGAUCAAGAGGAACACUCGUGGCGAAAGCGAGCUACUGGACAAUAUCUGACGCUGAGGCUCGAAGGCCAGGGUAGCGAAAGGGAUUAGAUACCCCCGUAGUCCCUGUCUCUUAUAC